ensembl:snoRNA
AUCCUUUUGUACUUGGUAAGCAUGAUGACUGGGUUUUUAUGCUUAUAUAUGAGACGUGCUUGUCUCAAAUCUUGUUGCAGCACAUUACCCUUCCUACU